rfam:Erinaceus europaeus unplaced genomic scaffold scaffold00086, whole genome shotgun sequence
GGAUGUGAGGGCGACCUGGCUGCGACAUCUGUUACCCCACUGAUCGCCAGGGUUGAUUUGGCUGAUCUGGCUGGCUAGGCGGGUGUCCCCUUCCUCCCUCACAGCUCCAUGUGCGCCCCUCCCGAAGCUGUGCACUGGAAGAGGACAGCCUUCCCCAAAUAGAGACGGGUUGGUCUUCGGUCGAGGGUAUAUGAGUAGCUGUGCUCUCCUGCUAGAACCUCCAAACAAGCUCUUAAGGCCCACUGGUGGAAUGGCUGGGUCCCAGGCUUCAAGUACACUAGUGCACUCAAGUCUAUCUUAGAAUAUCUCUU